GGGGAAUUUUGGACAAUGGGCGCAAGCCUGAUCCAGCAAUGCCGCGUAAGUGAAGAAGGCCUUCGGGUUGUAAAGCUCUUUUGUCAGGGAAGAAACGGUGGGGGCUAUUAUCCUCCACUAAUGACGGUACUUGAAGAAUAAGCACCGGUUAACUACGUGCCAGCAGCCGCGGUAAUACGUAGGGUGCAAGCGUUAAUCGGAAUUACUGGGCGUAAAGCGUGCGCAGGCGGUUGUGUAAGACAGGUGUGAAAUCCCCGGGCUUAACCUGGGAACUGCACUUGUGACUGCACAGCUGGAGUGCGGCAGAGGGGGAUGGAAUUCCGCGUGUAGCAGUGAAAUGCGUAGAUAUGCGGAGGAACACCGAUGGCGAAGGCAAUCCCCUGGGCCUGCACUGACGCUCAUGCACGAAAGCGUGGGGAGCAAA
rnacentral:rRNA from 1 species